rnacentral:rRNA from 1 species
UACGUAGGGGGCAAGCGUUGUCCGGAUUUAUUGGGCGUAAAGAGCUCGUAGGCGGCUCGAAAAGUCGGCGGUGAAAACUCGGGACUCAACUCCGAGGCGCCCGUCGAUACUGUCGAGCUUGAGUCCGGUAGGGGAGUGUGGAAUUCCUGGUGUAGCGGUGAAAUGCGCAGAUAUCAGGAAGAACACCCGUGGCGAAGGCGGCUCUCUGGGACGGUACUGACGCUGAGACGCGAAAGCGUGGGGAGCGAACAGG